rnacentral:rRNA from 1 species
AGGACUAACGCUGGCGGCGUGCUUAACACAUGCAAGUCGAGCGGAAAGGCCCUUCGGGGUACUCGAGCGGCGAACGGGUGAGUAACACGUGAGUAAUCUGCCCCUAGCUCUGGGAUAGCUCCGGGAAACCGGGAUUAAUACCGGAUACGACCACUUUAGACAUCUGUUGUGGUGGAAAGAAUUUUGGCUAGGGAUGAGCUCGCGGCCUAUCAGCUUGUUGGUGGGGUAAUGGCCUACCAAGGCGACGACGGGUAGCCGGCCUGAGAGGGCGACCGGCCACACUGGGACUGAGACACGGCCCAGACUCCUACGGGAGGCAGCAGUGGGGAAUAUUGCGCAAUGGGCGAAAGCCUGACGCAGCGACGCCGCGUGGGGGAUGAAGGCCUUCGGGUUGUAACCCUUCAGCAGGGACGAGCGAAGUGACGGUACCUGCAGAAGAAGCGCCGGCUAACUACGUGCCAGCAGCCGC